ACACCAAAGCCAGACAAGGACAUUAUAAGAAAACUACAGAUGACUAUUUAUGAAUACAAAUGCAAAAAUCCUCAAGAAAAUACUAGCAGUCCAAAUUCUGCAGCACAUUAAAAGGAUUAUAAACCAUGAUCAGAUAAGAUUUAUGCCACAAAUGCAAGCAUAGUUCAACAUAAGAAAAUCAAUCAAGGUAGUAAUACACCACAUCAAUAGAAUGAAGGGAAAAAAUCUACAUGAUCAUCUCAAUUGAUACAGAAAAAUAGUUUUAAAAAUUUAACACCUCUCAGUAUAAAACACUCAGAAAAAUAGGAGUAGAAGGAACUUUCUCAACCUGAUAAAAGGUAUUUAUAAAAAAUUCACAGUUGACAUCAUAAUGGUAAAAGACUGAAAGUGUUCCUCCAAAGUUCAGGCACAAGACAAAGAUGCCUCUUUCUCCACUGCUAUUCAACACCGUACUGGAAAUUCUAGUCAGGUCAAUUUGGCAAGAAAAAGAAAAUGUAUCCAAAUUGGAAAGGAAAAAGAAAAAAACAUUCACAGAUGACAUGAUCAUAUAUAUAUAUACAGAAAACUGCUGACUACAGAAAAAUCUACUUAAGCUAAUAAAUGAAUGCAGCAAAUUUGCAGAAUACAAGAGCAACAUCCAAAAAUCAAUUGUAAUUCUAUACACUAGCAAUGAACAACCCAAAAAGAAAAUUAAGAAAACAUUUGCAUUUAUCAUAGUAUCCAAAAGAACAAAACACUUACGAAUAAAUUAAACCAAAGAGGCCAAAAACUGUGUACUGAAAACUGCUAAACAUUGCUGAAUUAAAUUUUAAAAACAUCCCUUAUUUAUGGAUUGGAAGACAAUAUUGUUUAAGAUGGCAAUACCACCAAAAGAGAUCUACAGGUUCAAUGCAAUCCAUAUCAAAAUUUCAAAGGCCUUUCUUGAAGAAAUGUAAAGGCCAAUGCUCAAAUUCAUUUGGAAUUGCAGGGGAGCUUGAAUAGCCAAAACAGUCUUGAAAAGGACAAUGUUGGAGGACUCAUACUUCCUGAUUUCAAUACUUUCUACAAAGCUACAGUAAUCAAAACGAAUGCAGUGUUGUCUUAAGGAUAGACAUAUAGGACAAAUGGGAUAGAACUGAGAGUACAGAAAUAAACCUAUAUAUCUACAGCCAACUGAUUUUCAACAAAGGUGACAAAACCAUUCAAUGGAGAAAGAAUAAUUUCUUCAUCAAUUGGUGCUGAGACAUCUGGAUAAAAUAGGAAAAAUAAUGAAGUUGGACCCCUAACUCACACCAUGUACAAAAAUGAACUCAAAAUGGAUCAAUGAUAAAUAUAAGAGCUAAAGUCUUAAAAUUCUUAUAAGGAAACAUAAGAGUAAAUCAUGUUCAUUGGCAAUGGUUUCUUAAAUAUGACAUGAAAAGCACAAGCAACAAAAGAAAAAAUAGAUAUUUGGACUUCAUUAAAAUUAAAAACUUUGUGCUUCAAAGGAUACCAGCAAAAAGAAAGUGAAUAGAGACCUAAAGGAUGAGAGAUAAAUAUUUGCAGAUCACACAUCUGAUAAUGGUCUUGGAUUCAGAAUAUAUAAAGAUCUCUUACAAUUCAGCAAUAACAAAAAGAAAAACAACCCAAUUAAAAAAUAGACGAAGUACUUGAAUAGUCAUUUAUCUUAAUAAGAUAUAUAAAUGGCCAGCUAGCAUAUGAACUGAUGCUCAACGUCUUCAGUCAUCAGGGAAAUGAAUAUAAAAACCAUGAUGAGAUACCACUUCACACUCACUAGGAUGGCUAUUUAAAAGAAAAAAAAAAACAGAAAGUAACAAGUGUUGGUGAGGAUGUGGACAAAUAGGAACCCUGAUACAUUGCUGAUGAUCACAUAAAAUGGUGUAGCUGCUAUGAAAAUCAGUUUGGUCGUUUCCAAGUCAGUUAAACAUAGACAUACCAUAUGACUCAUCAACCUUCCUCCUAGGCAUAUGCCUAAGAGAAGUGAAACAUUCAUACAAAAACUUGUAAAAAACCUUCCUAGUAGCAUUUUAUUCAUAAUAGCUAAAAACUAGAAACAACCCACAUUUUCAUUGACUGGUAACUGGAUAAACACAAUGUGGUAUAUCCAUAUAAUGGAAUAUUUGUCAACAAUAUAAAGGAAGAACCAUGAAGGGGGUCAUUUGACAUCAUUCUUGGAAUGCUGAAGUCUUCUUACAUCUGAUUCUGAUUUCCUCUCCAUCAAAGAAUUUAUGAUAAUUAUAAUUAAAUAAUGCCACUGUACAAUUAAAUAAUACAGUCCUACAAUUGUAUUAUUAAUAACCAUUUAUCUACAUGGUACAAUGUAAGGUCUAUAAUGUCUUGUUUAUCACAUCACCUAGAAUGGUGUAAUGCCUAUAUUGAAGAAUCAGUAAGAUGUAACAAAUUGUGAGGACAUAUUUAUAUAGUUACACUGUUUUUUAACAAAUUUAUGCAUUUUAUAUUUUACUUAUUUUCAGAGGUAUAUUAUUUUUGUUAUUCUUACCAGUUAAGCUAUUCUUUUUAUUAUGCUAUAUAAAAUAUUUAAUGGUAUAUAAGCUUUCUUUUUUAUAAAUUUUAGCUGCAUAAUAUACACAAUUUUAAUAUAAUGCUAAUUUUUAAAGAAAAAAAAUUGAAAUGUAAUAGAUAAUACUAAAUAGUAAAGAUGAAAGCCAUACAAAAUGGGAUAAAGUAUAGAAUAAAUUUCCUAUUUGUCUCAGCAUAUUUUCCAUUCCACUUCUCCAGAGGGAGUCACAUAAUCUGUUUCUUAAGAUUCAUGAUAUAAUAGUCUGUGUGUGGAGUUCCCGUCGUGGCGCAGUGGUUGACGAAUCCGACUAGGAACCAUGAGGUUGCGGGUUCGGUCCCUGCCCUUGCUCAGUGGGUUAAGGAUCCGGCGUUGCCGUGAGCUGUGGUGUAGGUCGCAGAUGCGGCUCGGAUCCCGCGUUGCUGUGGCUCUGGCGUAGGCUGGUGUCACAGCUCCGAUUAGACCCCUAGCCUGGGAACCUCCAUAUGCCGCAGGAGCGGCCCAACAAAU
rnacentral:lncRNA from 1 species